UACAGAGGGUGCAAGCGUUGUUCGGAAUUAUUGGGCGUAAAGGGCGCGUAGGCGGUGCGGUAAGUCUGCGGUGAAAUCUCCCGGCUCAACUGGGAGGCUGCCGUGGAAACUGCCGUGCUUGAGUAUGGGAGAGGUGAGUGGAAUUCCUGGUGUAGCGGUGAAAUGCGUAGAUAUCAGGAGGAACACCUGUGGCGAAAGCGGCUCACUGGACCAUAACUGACGCUGAUGCACGAAAGCUAGGGGAGCAAACAGG
rnacentral:rRNA from 1 species